rnacentral:miRNA from 12 species
GGUGCCUAGUGUUUGAGAAGGA